rnacentral:rRNA from 1 species
AGAGUUUGAUCCUGGCUCAAGAAGAUUGCUGGCGGCGUGCUUAACACGUGCAAGUCGAACGAAGCACUUAAGAACGAAUCUUCGGAGGAAGUCUUAUUUGACUGAGUGGCGGAGGGGUGAGUAACGCGUGGGUAACCUGCCUCACACAGGGGGAUAACAGUUGGAAACGACCGCGAAUACCGCAUAAGCCGGAAGGAUCGCGGGAUCCGGGCGGAAAAGAUUUAUGGGGGUGAGAUGGACCCGCGUCUGAUUAGCCAGUUGGGGGGGUAACGGCCUACCAAAGCGACAAUCAGUAGCCGGCCUGAGAGGGUGAAGGGCCACAUUGGGACUGAGACACGGCCCAAACUCCUACGGGAGGCAGCAGUGGGGAAUAUUGCACAAUGGGGGAAACCCUGAUGCAGCGACGCCGCGGGGGGGAAGAAGUAUUUCGGUAGGUAAAGCUCUAUCAAGCAGGAAAAAAAAUGACGGUACCUGACUAAGAACCCCCGGCUAACUACGUGCCAGCAGCCGGGGUAAUACGUAGGGGGCAAGCGU